GUAUCACCCUCAUCAUAUAAAUGGAAGACUGUGAAGGGAUAUGUGGCUCUUGCCUAGUGAGAUGGAAAAUGACAAGGAGUAGUGCUAUUAUCAAGGCUGAUUCCCCACUCUGGCACUUGGAGUGCAGAAGCUACAAUCACAGGGUCUACGUAGAGGUCAAUGAUGGGAGAUGCUCCUUUCUCCCAAAGGUUCUCACCGGAGGAUGCUGAGAGGAAAAGCGCUCCUCACUUCCCUUGUCCAUCAUCCUGUACAGGAGGCCACCAGGAGAGAUUGAAACAGUGCAGGCUGCAAAAUGUGAAUGACACCCAGCCUACCUUCUGACACCUGUCAGUGAGGGAGGAACAGAGCCAGCUUAAAACAACCAAAAGCCACAAUGGAGGCUUAAUGGUUGAGCCAUACUCACCAAUGUACAUUCCAUCAGCCACACCAUCAGAGGCUUGUUCACCAGCACAUCUACCAAUGUGAUAUAUGCCAUCAUGUGCCAGCAAUGCCCCUCUGCCAUGUACACUGGCCAAAC